UACGAAGGGGGCUAGCGUUGCUCGGAAUCACUGGGCGUAAAGGGUGCGUAGGCGGGUCUUAAGUCAGGGGUGAAAUCCUGGAGCUCAACUCCAGAACUGCCCUUGAUACUGAAGGUCUUGAGUUCGGGAGAGGUGAGUGGAACUGCGAGUGUAGAGGUGAAAUUCGUAGAUAUUCGCAAGAACACCAGUGGCGAAGGCGGCUCACUGGCCCGGUACUGACGCUGAGGUGCGAAAGCGUGGGGAGCAAACAGGG
rnacentral:rRNA from 1 species